rnacentral:rRNA from 1 species
CCAGCGAACUUGGCAGAGAUGCCUUGGUGCCUUCGGGAACGCUGAGACAGGUGCUGCAUGGCUGUCGUCAGCUCGUGUUGUGAAAUGUUGGGUUAAGUCCCGCAACGAGCGCAACCCUUAUCCUUUGUUGCCAGCGAUUCGGUCGGGAACUCAAAGGAGACUGCCGGUGAUAAACCGGAGGAAGGUGGGGAUGACGUCAAGUCAUCAUGGCCCUUACGAGUAGGGCUACACACGUGCUACAAUGGCGCAUACAAAGAGAAGCGACCUCGCGAGAGCAAGCGGACCUCAUAAAGUGCGUCGUAGUCCGGAUCGGAGUCUGCAACUCGACUCCGUGAAGUCGGAAUCGCUAGUAAUCGUGGAUCAGAAUGCCACGGUGAAUACGUUCCCGGGCCUUGUACACACCGCCCGUCACACCAUGGGAGUGGGUUGCAGAAGAAGUAGGUAGCUUAACCUCCGGGAGGGCGCUUACCACUUUGUGAUUCAUGACUGGGGUGAAGUCGUAACAAGGUAGGCGUAGCGAG